AACGAACGCUGGCGGCAGGCUUAACACAUGCAAGUCGAACGCCCCGCAAGGGGAGUGGCAGACGGGUGAGUAACGCGUGGGAACGUACCUUUCAGUUCGGAAUAACUCAGGGAAACUUGUGCUAAUACCGGAUACGCCCGCAAGGGGAAAGAUUUAUCGCUGAAAGAUCGGCCCGCGUUGGAUUAGCUAGUUGGUGGGGUAAAGGCCUACCAAGGCGACGAUCCAUAGCUGGUCUGAGAGGAUGAUCAGCCACACUGGGACUGAGACACGGCCCAGACUCCUACGGGAGGCAGCAGUGGGGAAUAUUGGACAAUGGGCGCAAGCCUGAUCCAGCCAUGCCGCGUGUGUGAUGAAGGCCUUAGGGUUGUAAAGCACUUUCACCGAUGAAGAUAAUGACGGUAGUCGGAGAAGAAGCCCCGGCUAACUUCGUGCCAGCAGCCGCGGUAAUGUACAGUGU
rnacentral:rRNA from 1 species